GCUUCCACACCCGGGCCCCGGGCUGCGAGGAGCGGCGAGCGCCUCCCUCUCUGCUUUGGAUUGGCCAUAGGCUCUGGACCGACCGGCGUCACCGUCUUCCUGUGCCUCCAGCUCCCGGAGCUGUACUCACCCUGGUUCCCAUUUCACAGCAAGGUGGUGAUGGCUGCCUCUAAGAUCCAGUCAAGGCCGACCAGACUCGGAGCGGAGCGUCUGGAUCGCUAGGGCUGCAAGAAGCAGGAGGAGCUGCCCGAGCUUCUGCAGGGAGCGGAGGACCACAGGCUGCUGGGUGGAUGCUUCAGGUUGCUGGAAAACAAGAAUUCACCCAGCCUUUGGGGAACUGCAGCCCACACACAACUGUGGUAGUCAGCCACGCCCAUCUUAUGAGAUCAUCCUCAGAGGCACCUCUUUGCAUUCCUGACUCUGCAAUUCCUCUCUUGCCUGAUGAAUCAGCCUUCACAAACCUCCAGGCCUACAAGUGGCUACUCAGUGAAAGCAAAUCACAGAGCUGACAUUGGGACUAAUGACAGAGAAGGUUUGCCACGUGAGGUGGAGUCUUUCCUGUCCAUGAGUCAAGCAGCUCCAGUACCAGGGAGUCCUGAGAAGCUGGGCGGGCACACGGCCAAGAGCCUGAAGACAGAGAGCCAGGAAGGCAAUGGUGUGCCAUGGUGAUGUGAUUGUGGGGUAACAGCAUGGAGUGCUGGUCCCAGGAGGGUGCACUGACAUGCCACUGCCCAGAGAUGGCAGAAGGAUGUCAGUGCCAAAGUGCAGAAGGCCUGGGUCCCAAUCACCUCACUAGGAUUUUCAGAGAAAUAUCUCAACAUUGCAGAAACUCUACAGCUACAUUGGCUGAAUUUCUCCACAAGUUUAAGCAGUGCUCCAGAAGGCAUUAGGGAACAAGGAAUACUCAUAACUGCAGUUUUCAAAGAGAAAAUGCCUCUUGUUGCCCAGCCAAAGUGGAUACUUCAGGAACCCCUGAAGCCACAUCAAAGCACAUAUAUUACAUGCAUGGAAAUGUAGCCAUGUCGCCUAAAGUGGGCAUUAUAAAAGUUGAAUUUUUUACAAUUCUGUUUUCCAAAUUUUUGUAUUUUGAAGAAUUGUGUUUACUGGAUUGUUUUUUCCUCAUACUUUUACUUUUGCCUGAGUGAUGGGGAGAGUUUGGUUGUGGAUUCUAGUCCCAUAGUACUCCUAAUUCACUACAUUUGUGCACUCAACAUUCAUGAAACAUCAGCAUCCGCUAAAUGUGAGCCUCAUAUGGAACUCCAAAUCCACAACCACCACUUUGGGUCACAUUGGAGUCCACUCACAAGCUAAAAUCAGGCUCAUUCUGCACCAUCUUUCACACCCAUUGCUGCUCCAGAAAAUCUGUACUAACAGAACUAGUCAUUCACUCUGCUGGGAGAAGCCCUUGACUAAUUGCCGUGCUUUCCUCCCUCACUUCACACACCCAAGAAGUCAAUACUUUCAAGUUUCCUCACUGCAAAAGACUCCAUCACAAGUAUGGAGGCAUCUCUACCCCUAGUCAAUUAAUUCUUUCUUCCUAGUGCCUAGAUCUGCUUCUCAAUCAAAUCUCACCAGCGCCUGGAUAGAUUCAAUGGGCUCUCACACCCUUCCAACUUCCUUGUCCCCACCCCUCAUGUGUAACACUACUAGAUAUAGAGCUAUGUUAAAAGGCCACACUGAUCAUGUCAGUGUGUCAAACACUUGAGUGGCUCCAAAGCUUCUGAGCUGAACUUGUAAACUAACACUGUGCAUUUCAAGGCCCCUUCAGGCUCCUAAAUGGAUCCACACCUAUAUUGUCUUCCCUCUAUAGCCCACAGGCCUUUAACAAAGAUUCCUGUGACUACUGUGUGUCAGUCAAUGCAAAGGCCUCAGAGAUUUGCCCCUUUCACCCUGCAAUUUUAGUUAAAUGGAUUUCCAUAGUACAUCAUGAUAUUUUCUACUGAAUUUCUCCCAUAAACACUGUCCCUUCUUCCUGAACUUUUCUCCCAACUUCUGUGCCUCAUCAGCUGUGGUCUACAGCAGCCUGGAUAUUCAGAGCAAUUACAAUAUCUUCAUUUUGCUAAAUAACUGAACUGCUUUUUGUAUGAAUGCCCAUCCACUAAUUUCAGAAAAACAAAUGAAUGGUUAUGGAAUCCUGAUCCAUUCCAACCAUUCAAAUAACCCCUUAAUGCACCAAACUAGACAAAGUCUCUCUAGACUGGGAGGUUGAGGGGGGCUUAUUUAAAUUUGUUCCAUGACACACAGAACAAGAUCUGGCAUGGGCCAGAUGGUAAUGACUAAAUGGUGCCUGGAUUAAGGUGUUUCUUAGAGAUGGAAGAGAGUGUUUGAAUGUGUACUGCAACCCUAUUUCACUGUGGCGCACACAAACACCAGAGCUCAUGUGUUGUCAUAAUAACCUAGAACAAUCUGCAGAUAGUAUUCCUGGGGUUUGAGAAUCACUCUGAAAUAGAGAACAGAAGAACAGACAGAGCUCUCUUGGGGUAGCAUGGCCUCAAAGCAGGCAUCAGAGUUCUCUACUUUAAUGCUGGAAACUAGACCAAUACCAAUCAAACAAACAACAAACAUGCUCAUUAUACAGCCAAUUUAUUAACUCCUAUGGCAACAGAUACAUUCCUAUAUACAUAAAAUAACAUUCAUUCAUUAAACAAUUUAGAUGUUGAUAUUAAGAGCAUAGCUUCUAGAGUCAAACUACCUGGGUUCACAUCCUAAUUCUGUGGCUCGUUAACUUGUGACUUCAAGCAGACUAUGGAACCUCUGAAACUAACAGACAUUAUGAGGAUUAAAACAAUGUAUCUUGUACAUGGUAGUCAAUAAAUUUUGGUUAUUAUAGUACUAAGUGGCAGUCACUGGAAUGGGGCUAAGUAGGAGAAUCUUGUACCAUUUGAAAGAAAACUAGUAAACAGACAAGAACAGAGGCAAUAAGGAAGGUGUGAAAACAUCAAAGAAAACAGGUUUAAGCGAAGGGAGCAGAGACUAGGAAAUCUUGGAGGAGGUGAUCACAGUUUGAGGCACAGCACGUCAGGUGAGUUAUAUGGAAAAGCACAGUAAGGAGCAGCAGCAGAUUGGCUCAAGGACUGAAAGUAGGGUGUAAGGGCUGUGGCACAGGGUGAGAGGGGCCAUGCCUGGUGAUGUGAAGUGAGAUGUCCUGCCUGGGACAUGGUCCUUCUUCCUUGCUACUGUCUUAGAGUAGAAUUAGAUGGAGGGAGGAUGUAGGUUCUGUGUACAAGGAUGAGGUAUGAAGUGUGCAGGGGAGCAUCUCACAGACAGUGAACGGGCAGAAAAGUCAACAGAAAAACAGCACGAUCAGAGGAAGUGGAGCCAGUGCUGUGACUCAGAGCUCUGCGUCGCCACAUGCAGUGCUGGCAUCUCAUUCUGGAGCAAUGGUUUGAGUUCUGGCUGCUGCUUCUGAUCCAGCUCUGCUAAGGUGCCUAGGAACGCAGCAGGUAUCAUAAAUACUUUUAAUCUUGCAAGCCACAUGACAUAUCUUGAUGGAGCUUGCAGCUUCUUCCUUUGGCUUAGAACAGCCCAAGUAGUUGGGGGUCAUUUGGGGAUUGAAUCAGUGAAUGGAAGAUAUCUCCUUAUCCCUCCCCUUCACCCUUCCUCUCCCUGUCUUUCAAAUAAAAAUAAAUGAAUCUUUUUAAAACUGAUGUAAUCUAGAGGUGACUCUCCAAGAUAGGGUAAGGAUGCAAGCUGGUAUUGAGACCAUAAUGAAUGUUACAGGUGAAGAAGUUAUGCAGAGCCAGGCAGUUCAUUGCUGUCUGUACUGUUUUAAGAAUAUUCCCAGUUGGGGCCAGCACUGUGGCAGAGCAGGUAAGGCCUCUGCCUGCAUUGACAGCAUCCCAUACAGGCACUAGCUCUAGUCCUGGAUGUUUCACUUUCAAUCCAGCUCCCUGCUAAUAUAUUCCUGGGAAAGCAGUGGAAGAUGGCCCAAGUCCUUGGGGCACUGUAUCCAAGUGGAAGCCCCAGAAGAAUUAAUAAAAUCUUUAUUAAAAAAGAAUAUGCCCAAUCUAGUGCUAAGCCCUUGAUUCACAUUCCUUCAUUAUAUUCUUAGUCAUUCUGGUGAGGCAGACAUUUUCCACCUAUGAAGAAGGGUGUAAUGGGAGGCUCAAAGAAUUUAAACAACUGAGAACCUGGUCAUGGAAGAGCUAGGACUAUCUGACUAUAAACACUGGGUUCAUUCCAUUGUCAAACUGCCUCUUAGGUAGAGACAUGGUCGAGCCAACAAUAUGUGGAUUUACACACACACACAUGGCACUGAGAAGCAUGCUUAUUUUAGCAAGAAGGACUUGACCAUAUUUCUUAGAAACUUUCUCCUCCUAUCAUGUUAACGACUGUUCACAUCCUAGAGCCUUUCUUCUCAGUAGUUACAGUGUUUCUCCUCUGCCUCUUCCUAUAACUGGCUCCUAAAGGCCACCCAAAUCUGCAUGCUAGCACACCCAGGCUCUAGUAGGGAAUCGGGCCUUCACUCACCCAGUUGGCUAUUGUGUUAAACACAACAAGGGUUAUGCUCAGUCACUGUUGGGUUUACUUGUCUACCUGUACCUAUUCUGUCACUGUGACUCCAUCUGGAUUCUGACUUCAGGCAGCACGGACUAUGUCUGUCUUACUAUAUGCUUUACUCCCAAUACCUAGGAUGUACGCUGGCACAGCAUUGGUGCUCAAAAAAUAUUUGAGGAAAGAUGAGUGGAGGAAUCAGACUCUCUGGCCUCAAGGCCUUGGCAAUCUUCUGAGGCCAGGAUGCUCUGCUCUUAGAUACCAGGUAGCCAGGGGGAAUGCCACAGAGGCCCUCACUGGUCCCAAGUCCUGAUCCUCACUAUCACAUACCUGGUCUCCCAGGCAGAUUUCAUAAUGCCACUCAUUACGCUUUCCAAGAGAGAAAAAUAUGCAGAUACAAGUUGAAGGUAAAAAACCUGGAGGGUUAAGAGUCAAGAAAAACUCCUUUCAGGGCUGACACUUGGCGUAGCAGGUAAAGCUGUGGCCUGCAGUGCCAGCAUCCCAUAUGGGCUCUGGUUCGAGACCUGGCUGCUCCUCUUCCAAUCCAGCUCUAUGCUAUGGCCUGGGAAAGCAAUAAAAGAUGGCCCAAGUCCUUGGGCCCCUGAAACCACAUAGAAGACCCAGAAGAACCACCUGGCUCUUGGCUUCUGGCUCCAGGCUUUGGAUCGGCACAGCUCUGGCCAUUGUGGCCAACUGGGGGUGAACUAUUGGAUAGAAGACCUUUCUUUCUCUCUCUCUCUCUCUGUCUCUCUCUCUACCUCUCCUUCUCUCUCUCUGUAACUCUGAACUUCAAGUAUAUAAAUAUUAAAUAAAUUUAAAAAAGAAAGAUUCCUUAGUAAACAACAGAAAGCACAGUGACAACAUAUGCAAUGGCUGUGAGAAAAUAGCAGGAAUGUGGCUUGCCUGGGUUUGAAUUCUGGCUACUGACUACUAGAUAUGUGAUCUCAACUAAGCCACUAAGCCCUUUCAUGACUCAGUUUCCCUAUUACAAAAUAGAAAUAUUGUACUCUAACCAAUCUGAUAAGUUGGUGUCAGGAUUGAAUGAAGUAAUGUUUGUAAUGUGCUAAUUACAUAGUAAAUGGGAAGUGUUGAUUUUAAAAAGUGACUGAACACAGGCUUCCCAAGUGAGCUGUCCCAGUGAUUACAAGGAGGAUAGCAUGGAUGCAUCACUUAAUAUACUUUAGGAAGUUUUGUUGUGAGGCAUAAGGGAAACACUGUAUAGACCGUAAGUAGGACAGUGUCUAGCACAUACUAAGUGCUCAGUAAAUACAGCCUACACAGGAAUGUCAUUGUGCUUUCAUGCUGCUAGAUGUGAUGCCCUUAUCCCAUACCAGAGGGCCUCAGUUUUAGUCCCAACUCCACUUGUAGGUGCACACUGUGGGAGGCAGCACAUGAUGGCUUGAUCAGUUGGGUCACUCUCACCUAUGCAGGAGACUCAGAUUUUGUUCCUUGCUCCCUUGCUCUGGCUGUUUUGGGCAUCUGGGGGAUAGACCAGUGGGUGAGAAAUGUCUCUUUUUAUUGACCUUUGAAAUAAUACAAAAAUAAAUAAAUAAAUUAGUCAAAAGCAUAAAAACAGCAUGGAAAGUCACCAAUGAUGAAGGGUCUAAUCCAGCAAGAGGAAAAAUAAUUGAAAGUAUAUACAUGGACCUAUAUUGAAGCACCCCAAUAUUUUAGCAACAUUAACACACAUAAAGAGAUAGGUUCUAAUACAAUGAUAGUAGGAUAUAUUAAUAUAAUACUUUCGGAAGUAGACAGCUAAUCCAAACAGAAAAUCAACAAACAACAGAUUUAAACUGAACUCUAGAACAAUGGGAUCUGACACACUUGUACAAAACGUUCAAACAGCUGUGGAAUAGGGGGCAGCAUUGUGGCAUGACAGGUUAAGCCACAACCUGGGCCACCACCAACAUCCCAUGUGAGCAGUGGUUCGAGGGCUGGUUGCUCUACUUUCAAUUCUACUCCUGAGGAAAGCAGCAGCAGAUGGUCCAACUACUUCUUCCAAUGCCACUUAUGUGGGAGUCUAGGAAGGAAUUCCAGGAUCCAGCUUUGGCCUGGCCCAGCCCCAGGCUUUUUAGCCAUCUGGGGAGGGAAGCAGUGGCUGGAGAAACUGUCACUGUAUCUGUCUCUCCCUCUCUGUACUAAAAUAAAAUAAUCUUUCAAAAAAGAGAAAUUAAAAAUGUUUAAGAAAAGUUGCACAAUACACAAUCCUUUCAAUAGUCCAUGAGAAUUUCUCUAAGAUAGAACAAAUUCAAGGUCACAAAAAGGCCUCAACAAUUUCAAACAACAGAAACUGUAUCAAUGCUUUCUGGACACAAUCUAUUAACACUGAAAAUCACAAACAGAAUAACUUUGUAGUCCAUAUAAAUAUAGGAAAAUUAAUUUAUACCUGAACAACUAAUGGAUCACACACAUAUCCUCUAGCUAGAGGUGGCUUCUAUACAGCCAGACUUCUUUCACUCCCACACCCAAGUCCACUACUACACCAUCAUCUGGCUUCUUAAAUAUUUUUUCAAUCUAUUUGCUCUUCCCUACCCCAUUACCACUCUCAGGUGCCCAUCACUGCUCCUCUGGACAUCUCUUAUAAUCUGCUCUUCAAUAUCUGCUUUUCUGAAGUCACUCCUUUACACAAGCACAACCAUCAUGCUUUCAAAUACACAAACAUUACUUACUCACCACUCUGAGUAUGGUGUAUGGUAUCCCUCCUCUCCACUGCUUGGUGUAUUGAGUUCAAGCUUUUAAGCUGACAGAUAGCCCAGGACCCCAGUCACAUGUCACCAGUCCUUGCCUUAAACUGGAUGCCAAAUACUGCUGCUCUCAAACACACACACACACACACACACACACCCCAGCUGAUUCACAUAUUUGAGAAUUGGCUCAUUCUUUUCCCCUUCUUCCUGAAAAUGGUUUGCUUCCUACUCUGAUUAAUUCUUACUCACACGCCAGACCAUACUGAGGUGGGCCCUUCCUCUAGGAAGCCACCCUGGACUGCGUCAGGUAUCCCUGAAUGUGCUUCCACGUUAUUCCCUCAAUACGUCCCUCAUAGCACUUAAUGUGUAUGAAAAUUAUCAUCCCCUACACAGGCCUACUGUGCAGGAACAUACAGAGGGAACUUAAAACAGCAGGAGCCAACAUUCUCUCACUUCUAACCCCACUUCAUAUGCUGGGCGUAAUGCCCAUGCAAUGGAUUUCAGAUCCCUCAAGGAAAUCAAGUUUAUCAGAGAAGAAUAUGCGUAAAGAAGUACUUUGAUCACUAACAUUCCAUUUUAAAAAUAAAAGUUUAACCUCAAAAUAGGGCUAAUAUUUACUAAAUUCACUAUAGAAAACAAAUCUUGUAUCACACACCAAUCCAAACAGUUGGUUCAACAGUUUCAAAUUAGUUAAGAAGGCACCAAAGUACUAGAUUUUCAAAUUAACUCUACAGCAUUUGUAAUCCAUUUUCUCUAAAUCCUUAGCAAAGAGAUAUACUGACAUGUGUGAUAUUUCUUUAUAGCAUUCAUCACAAGUGCUAUUCCCUGCCCCCUCUUCUGAAGAACUUCUGUCCACACCUGUGACGUGGAUACUAAAACAGUUCACAAACCUUUAUUCCAAGUGUCCAGUAUCUCUUCAUAAAAACACUACCAUUUAGUGUUAGUGUUUAACAUUUGCUAAAAGAUAUAUUAAGGGCUCUAAGUACAACAUUCUCGCAUCUUCCUAAUGAUCCAUUGGAGUCAAAAGUAUUUUAUUUUAUCAUGAAAGACAGAGAGGUUAAGUAACUUGCCCAAGUCACACAGUGAGAAAAUGCAGAGCUGAGAUUCACACCAGGAAAUCUAACACCAACACCUGCAUUCUUACCGUAUUAUGCAAUACUACUUUCAAAAUUGUACCAGGUCAUUUUGAAGUAUACAACUAAAUACAAAUUGUCAGCUCCAUUCACUUUGUUGCAAAUGUCAGGAUUUCAUUAUUAUUGCAGCAAAUUUUUUAUUAAACUUUUAUUUAAUGAAUAUAAAUUUCCAAGGUACGUCUUAUGGGUUACAAUGGCUUCCCCCCUCCCAUAACUUC